UGGGGAAUUUUGGACAAUGGGCGAAAGCCUGAUCCAGCAAUGCCGCGUGUGUGAAGAAGGCCUUCGGGUUGUAAAGCACUUUUGUCCGGAAAGAAAUCCUCUGGGUUAAUACCUCGGGGGGAUGACGGUACCGGAAGAAUAAGCACCGGCUAACUACGUGCCAGCAGCCGCGGUAAUACGUAAGGUGCAAGCGUUAAUCGGAAUUACUGGGCGUAAAGCGUGCGCAGGCGGUUUUGUAAGACGGAUGUGAAAUCCCCGGGCUUAACCUGGGAACUGCAUUCGUGACUGCAAGGCUAGAGUAUGGCAGAGGGGGGUAGAAUUCCACGUGUAGCAGUGAAAUGCGUAGAGAUGUGGAGGAAUACCGAUGGCGAAGGCAGCCCCCUGGGCCAAUACUGACGCUCAUGCACGAAAGCGUGGGGAGCAAACAGGAUUAGAUACCCUGGUAGUCCACGCCCUAAACGAUGUCAACUAGUUGUUGGGGAUUCAUUUCCUUAGUAACGUAGCUAACGCGUGAAGUUGACCGCCUGGGGAGUACGGUCGCAAGAUUAAAACUCAAAGGAAUUGACGGGGUCAUAGCUGUUUCC
rnacentral:rRNA from 1 species